UAGUUGGUAAUUCCCAGCAAUCACCACAGCAGUUAUGGCUUCAGCAUCUCGUUCAAGGCUCAUGUCAAAGAAACCAAGAAACCGUUCACGUACCAUGCCUUUUUCAUUUACGUAGCGGAUUAUGCCAGUCAAUUGGCACUUGCAUGACAUGUCUGUGGUGUCAUCCCCGUCCACUGCUAUGAAUGGCGCUGUGUUUGUUUCCUGGUGCAUUUCUUCCUGAAUAACAUGAGCAGGGCUUGCUAUUAUGUCAUUCUGAAUCGUAUUUGACAUACCUGUAAAUGUUAAAGCAGAUGUUAAGUGCUGU